GUGUCAGCAGCCGCGGUAAUACGAAGGGGGCUAGCGUUGUUCGGAAUUACUGGGCGUAAAGCGCACGUAGGCGGACUAUUAAGUCAGGGGUGAAAUCCCGGGGCUCAACCCCGGAACUGCCUUUGAUACUGGUAGUCUCGAGUCCGGAAGAGGUGAGUGGAAUUCCGAGUGUAGAGGUGAAAUUCGUAGAUAUUCGGAGGAACACCAGUGGCGAAGGCGGCUCACUGGUCCGGUACUGACGCUGAGGUGCGAAAGCGUGGGGAGCAAACAGGAUUAGAUACCCCCGUAGUCC
rnacentral:rRNA from 1 species